rnacentral:lncRNA from 1 species
UUCCAAAAGCUCACAAGAUUUGGAUCGGUGGAGUUUCCCACCGAAAAAAGCGGAAGCUUUCAAUCUCGUUUGGCAUGAUAAAGAUCCUCCUCCUCCUAGGACAGAUACAUCUCCGCCUCUUCCCCGAGAACGACGACGUUUUGAAGAGGUUAAGUUUUGCGAGAGAGACGGACGGUGAGGGAUCGCCGCAUGGCGUCCUGACCAAUGAAAAGAGGCUACUUUUACAUCCAUUCUUCCAAUAGAAGAAGACGAAACUCGCAGAAUCUGAGAGAUUGAAAUCAAAAGACGGACAGAAAGGCUCCUGAAUCCGUUCAAAGUUUUAACCUUUCCGGAAAAUUUGGUCAGUCGAAUUCAGAGGGUUAAGCUCCUGAAAUUUUGUUGGGAACAAAGGAAGAAGACAACAAGCCCCUCAAGUUUAUAUACGAACAAGAAGAAUAAUCGGAAAACACAAUUUAGUCAAUUCUUUAAAAACGAAAAAAAAAAAGUUAGUUACCGGAUUUAGCCGGUGGCAAUUUUAUGGAUGGCUCGUGCUAUUUGGGGAAGAGAUCAGAUUUUAGUUAAUCCACGGGUAGAAACGGUAACAGGUGAUUGACCUAAGAAAGUUCGGCUAACUCUGUAACGCGGUUUACUCGGGAGCACGUGCUUUUACUGAGGUCCAAGCGGCCUUCAUCCCGGAUUUUUCUAUUUAUGAUCGGACGGAUCUUAGUGAACCAUGUGUGUUUUUGUUACAACUAGCUUUUAGUAGGCACGUAGGGAGAUUGUUCACGUGCCAUAAAUAAGGUUUGUUGAGAUACUUGUCUUUGCGAGAAUAAGAUCAAUGUAUGUCAGACAGAGAUAUGAAGAGUACUUACUACUAAUUUGGUGGUUUGGAGUACUGUGAAUUUAUAUGAUAAACUAAUAAUACCCACCACAUUGUUUUCACGGCAUUAUUAGUUUUUUCCUUUCAGUGUAUUCGGUAAAAAUGGAAGUAGCACACAAAAAAUAACAUUGUAGUACAGAUUAUGUCAUUGUGAUAAAUGUCUUUUGUAUCAAAAAUGGAAAAUAUUUGAGAAACGGUUUGAAUACAUUUAUAUAUAGAGAGAUUUACAUCCCAAUUUUUUUCCUUUUACCAAAUACAUGCACUAUUGUCAUUUUAGACACACGAUGCAUAGAUCCAUAAUGUAUCUUCAUAUUGAAAGAAGGAGAAAUUGGCUAAUAAGGCCGUAUUCAGACUAGAUUUGUCCGUUUAUACAUUGGGUAUUUGUAAAAUAACCAAAAGAAAAAAAAUAUAGGGAAAACUGUUUUUUUAUAGCAAAAAAAUAGUAACUAUGUCCCUUUAAACUAAUCUAUAUUUUGUGUCAUAUUUUCCUAUAAUACCCUUUAAUAUUUAUGAAAAUAAUUUUAAUAAAUAGUUUUACAAACAAAAAAAAAUUGGAAAAAUAGUAACAUUUGUUAAAAUACAUAUAUGAACUUAAUGGUAUAUUUUCCAGUUAUAAAAAAGUUAAAAUUAUAAAUUUCAGAUUAUGUUCUAAAAAAAGUAGAAAUGACAUUCUACGAAGUAGAAAACGAAAUCUACUUUUUUCAUUGAAUCUACAAUGUUUAGAAUACGUGAUCUACGUAAAUAACCCUUGUCCUAAAACUGAGUCUCCUUGUGUAGAUAAGUGGAACAUCUUGUCAACAGUGCCAUUCACUACAUGCCCUAAACCCAUAUGAUCUUGGCCUGCUUCCUUUGUCCCAGCAGAGCCUGGGGGUGAUUCUGCAAUAGCUAGAUUCGAUGCAAUUGAAUGCACAGUGAAGUUCGCCAAUAGGAUCAUUACAUAAACCAUCAAAGUAGGUGUUUGAGAGAACACGCGCUGGAACAUCCACAGCAAUGAAGCGUGCAUAUCCUUUUUAACCUGCUUAAGAACACCCUCCCUAGUCUGCAACGCAAAGCUGUGCAUCUCCUCGAUCAUGAAGACCAUAGAAGAGAAGGCUUUGUCGAUAGAACAAUAAGUAGACUCUCUAGCUUCUCUAAGCGCCUCUUCUUGUAGCUUCCUCUUAAUCAUUCUAAGGGAGAGAGGCAAAUCAACACUGUUUGCUUUCCGCUCAAUGCUCGAGUGGCUAACCAUCUCCAUCCAGGGAGCUUCCAAAGAAGCUAAACCUGGAACGGACUCAUGUAGUAGUAGCUUCACAUUGCCGAAUCUGUGGUUCCUACGAUCUUUGUUUGUCACCAGGUCUUCUUCUUCGCCUGCAAUCUUGAAUUGUAGGGCUAAUUCUUGCAUCUUCGCCGAGAAUUCUUCGUCGGAGAAGAAACCGGAGCUCGCGCUGCAAACUCUCCGGAGAGGGUAAAGUUUACUCUUGGUGGAGAAUUCCAAAAGCUCACAAGAUUUGGAUCGGUGGAGUUUCCCACCGAAAAAAGCGGAAGCUUUCAAUCUCGUUUGGCAUGAUAAAGAUCCUCCUCCUCCUAGGACAGAUACAUCUCCGCCUCUUCCCCGAGAACGACGACGUUUUGAAGAGGUUAAGUUUUGCGAGAGAGACGGACGGUGAGGGAUCGCCGCAUGGCGUCCUGACCAAUGAAAAGAGGCUACUUUUACAUCCAUUCUUCCAAUAGAAGAAGACGAAACUCGCAGAAUCUGAGAGAUUGAAAUCAAAAGACGGAC